rnacentral:rRNA from 1 species
UACAGAGGUGGCAAGCGUUGUUCGGAAUUACUGGGCGUAAAGGGCGCGUAGGCGGGAUGGCAAGUCGGUCGUGAAAUCCUUCGGCUCAACCGAAGAACGCCGGCCGAUACUGCCGUUCUUGAGGGAUGCAGAGGAGAUUGGAAUUCCCGGUGUAGCGGUGAAAUGUGUAGAGAUCGGGAGGAACACCGGUGGCGAAGGCGGGUCUCUGGGCAUCUCCUGACGCUGAGGCGCGAAAGCGUGGGGAGCAAACGGG